rnacentral:rRNA from 1 species
GAUGAACGCUGGCGGCGUGCCUAAUACAUGCAAGUCGAGCGAACGGACGAGAAGCUUGCUUCUCUGAUGUUAGCGGCGGACGGGUGAGUAACACGUGGAUAACCUACCUAUAAGACUGGGAUAACUUCGGGAAACCGGAGCUAAUACCGGAUGAUAUUUUGAACCGCAUGGUUCAAAAGUGAAAGACGGUCUUGCUGUCACUUAUAGAUGGAUCCGCGCUGCAUUAGCUAGUUGGUAAGGUAACGGCUUACCAAGGCAACGAUGCAUAGCCGACCUGAGAGGGUGAUCGGCCACACUGGAACUGAGACACGGUCCAGACUCCUACGGGAGGCAGCAGUAGGGAAUCUUCCGCAAUGGGCGAAAGCCUGACGGAGCAACGCCGCGUGAGUGAUGAAGGUCUUCGGAUCGUAAAACUCUGUUAUUAGGGAAGAACAUAUGUGUAAGUAACUGUGCACAUCUUGACGGUACCUAAUCAGAAAGCCACUGCUAACUACGUG